rnacentral:rRNA from 1 species
GAUGAACGCUGGCGGCGUGCCUAAUACAUGCAAGUCGAGCGAACAGAUAAGGAGCUUGCUCCUUUGACGUUAGCGGCGGACGGGUGAGUAACACGUGGAUAACCUACCUAUAAGACUGGAAUAACUCCGGGAAACCGGGGCUAAUGCCGGAUAACAUUUAGAACCGCAUGGUUCUAUAGUGAAAGAUGGUUUUGCUAUCACUUAUAGAUGGACCCGCGCCGUAUUAGCUAGUUGGUAAGGUAACGGCUUACCAAGGCAACGAUACGUAGCCGACCUGAGAGGGUGAUCGGCCACACUGGAACUGAGACACGGUCCAGACUCCUACGGGAGGCAGCAGUAGGGAAUCUUCCGCAAUGGGCGAAAGCCUGACGGAGCAACGCCGCGUGAGUGAUGAAGGUCUUCGGAUCGUAAAACUCUGUUAUUAGGGAAGAACAAAUGUGUAAGUAACUGUGCACGUCUUGACGGUACCUAAUCAGAAAGCCACGGCUAACUACGUG